rnacentral:ribozyme from 11 species
UUUUUUUCCUUUUCUUUUUCUUUUUCUUCUUUCCCGGUUCUUCCACC